rnacentral:rRNA from 1 species
UACGUAGGUGGCAAGCGUUGUCCGGAUUUAUUGGGUUUAAAGGGUGCGUAGGCGGCCGCUUAAGUCAGUUGUGAAAUAUCCCGGCUCAACCGGGGAGGGUGCGAUUGAUACUGGGCGGCUCGAGUAACAGCGAGGUUGGCGGAAUUGACGGUGUAGCGGUGAAAUGCAUAGAUAUCGUCAAGAACACCGAUAGCGAAGGCAGCCAACUAGGGGUUAACUGACGCUGAGGCACGAAAAGUGCGGGGGAUCAAAACAGG